GAUGAACGCUGGCGGCGUGCCUAAUACAUGCAAGUCGAGCGAACAGACGAGGAGCUUGCUCCUCUGACGUUAGCGGCGGACGGGUGAGUAACACGUGGAUAACCUACCUAUAAGACUGGGAUAACUUCGGGAAACCGGAGCUAAUACCGGAUAAUAUAUUGAACCGCAUGGUUCAAUAGUGAAAGACGGUUUUGCUGUCACUUAUAGAUGGAUCCGCGCCGCAUUAGCUAGUUGGUAAGGUAACGGCUUACCAAGGCAACGAUGCGUAGCCGACCUGAGAGGGUGAUCGGCCACACUGGAACUGAGACACGGUCCAGACUCCUACGGGAGGCAGCAGUAGGGAAUCUUCCGCAAUGGGCGAAAGCCUGACGGAGCAACGCCGCGUGAGUGAUGAAGGUCUUCGGAUCGUAAAACUCUGUUAGUAGGGAAGAACAAAUGUGUAAGUAACUAUGCACGUCUUGACGGUACCUAAUCAGAAAGCCACGGCCAACUACGUG
rnacentral:rRNA from 1 species